rnacentral:rRNA from 1 species
CCUACGGGAGGCAGCAGUGAGGAAUAUUGGUCAAUGGGCGGAAGCCUGAACCAGCCAAGUAGCGUGCAGGAUGACGGCCCUACGGGUUGUAAACUGCUUUUAUACGGGAAUAACGCGCCUUACGUGUAGGGCUUUGCAUGUACCGUAUGAAUAAGGACCGGCUAAUUCCGUGCCAGCAGCCGCCGUAAUACGGAAGGACCGGGCGUUAUCCGGGUUUAUUGGGUUUAAAGGGAGCGGAGGCCGCACGUUAAACGUGCUGUGAAAUGUCCGGGCUCAAACCCGGGCUUGCAGCGCGAACUGGCGGGCUUGAGUCGGCGGAAAGCAGGCGGAAUUCGUGGUGUAGCGGUGAAAUGCUUAGAUAUGACGAAGAACCCCGAUUGCGAAGGCAGCUUGCUGCAGCGGAACUGACGCUGAUGCUCGAAAGCGCGGGUAUCGAACAGGAUUAGAUACCCCUGUAGUC